GCACUCUCAUCUGUAGGACAAGAGCUUUGGUUCCCUAGAUGACUCUUCCACAUGGUAGCUUGCAUUGGCAAUGCCAUGGCUUCAAGCUGCAAGGGAGCUCUAGAGAGAUCUUCUAUUGGCAGGAUACCAAAAGGCAGCCGGCAGCAUUUCAGGAGUUGAUCCCGUAUUUGACGAGCUGCAUGGCUUGAGGUUUUGAAUCUUCACUGUGUGGUUCAAAUGUAACUGUUUCAUUUUGUCAGCCAAAAAAAAAAGAUGAACACUGGUGAUGUUAGUUCCACAUCUGUAUAUCCGAGCAAAUCAUACAUGUACAGUAUAUAAACAGUGUACUGAAGUCUGAAUUCAUUCCAAAUUUGUUCGUAAUGUAA